ensembl:lncRNA
CUUUCACCUCUUCGGUUAGAGACAGAGAAGACAAGUCUGCACCAUUUUCUACCUCUCAUGCAGUACUACACGGUAAGUGCAAUUAAGUUAAACUUACUGAAACAAUUAAAAAUUGAUGCUGAGAAUUUCAGUAUGAACAAUUAAAUAUCCACAGAGAAUAUAUGCCUUAUACAGCCGUGUUUGUUGCCAGGACUGAACAGUAAAUUUGUCCUCGUGGUUAGCUAGCUAGUUAGCAGUGUACGGUAAGCUAGCUAACAGUUUGUUACUAAAACUAUCUCCAACUUUAUCAAUAAUGAUUUAACAAUUCACAGGCAUACUCAAAGCUAGGAAAUACAAAGCAUUAUGAUUUUUAACUAUAUAAAAUCUUGUUUGAGGCUGGAGCCAACGUUUUUUUUUUUCGCUUUGAAGAUCAAAGGGACCUCAAAAAACGUGUCCCAACAUGCAGACGGGUGUUUCACGUGUCUAGUUCACGUGUCUAGCUAUCCAUCAGAUUCUAUGACCUGCAGUGUUGGAAAAAUUACUAAUUUACUUAGGUAAAAGUAUGUAAGUAUUACCAUUACUAUUAUUACCAAGUUAAAGCUAAAGUACAAAAUUAGCAGAAAAUCGGGGUGUGACUGAUAUAUAUGAAAUACAUUUAAGUGCAUCAUUGAAUACUUAUGAGUCGGUGCAUAAGCAGCCGAUUUUCUGGAAAGUAGCACUUUUUCCAAUACUGCAGGUCACAGAAUCGACUUUUUACCGUUCUUGCUUAAAUGUUUAUUUACUUUCUCAAACUUCAUUGCAUGUCUCAGUCAAAAUGCUGGUCCAGGUGAAGUACAGCCAACAGCAGAAGUAUGUAAAGUUGGAUGAGGAUGAAGGACUGUUUGACUUUCUGCAAUUCCAUGAAAAAGCUCUUUACAUGCCUUUAUCAGACUCUAAUACUGUAAAUGGGUGUACAUUGCUAAACAUUUUCAGUUCUGCAAUGUGUGCUUCAUAAAGUGUAAAGUAUAUAAUAAUAUACACCAAAACAGUCAAUAAAAAAAAAGGCAAUCAUCAAUUUUUAAAUUUGGACUUGGAAGGGAAUGGGUUUUGUGAGGGACAAAUGGUCUAUGUCUAUUCAAUGAUUAUACAAUGUUGGAUGUAUGUAUUUAACAUGCACAGUUAUUGGCUGUGAGGCAAGAAACAGUGCGGACUUC